GAGCCUAUCAUGCAGUCGAACGGUCUCUAGCAAUAGAGAUAGUGGCGCACGGGUGCGUAACGCGCCACNAACCUACCUGAAUCUGGGGGAUAGCCCGCCGAAAGGCGGAUUAAUACCGCAUAAAACUGCAGCUUGGCAUCAAGUAACAGUUAAAGAUUUAUUGGAUUCAGAUGGGGUUGCGUGCCAUUAGCUAGUUGGGGAGGUAACGGCUCACCAAGGCGACGAUGGCUAGGGGAGCUGAGAGGCUGGUCCCCCACACGGGCACUGAGAUACGGGCCCGACUCCUACGGGAGGCAGCAGUAGGGAAUAUUGGGCAAUGGACGAGAGUCUGACCCAGCCAUGCCGCGUGCAGGAUGAAGGCUUUCUGAGUCGUAAACUGCUUUUAUCAGGGAAGAAAAAAGAGCGUGCGCGCUCUACUGACGGUACCUGAUGAAUAAGCACCGGCUAACUCCGUGCCAGCAGCCGCGGUAAUACGGAGGGUGCAAGCGUUGUCCGGAUUUAUUGGGUUUAAAGGGUGCGUAGGCGGUUCUUUAAGUCCGGGGUGAAAGCCCACUGCUCAACAGUGGAACUGCCCUGGAAACUGGCGAACUUGAGUACAGACGAGGGUGGCGGAAUGGAUACUGUAGCGGUGAAAUGCAUAGAUAGUAUCCAGAACACCGAUUGCGAAGGCAGCUGCCUAGACUGUAACUGACGCUGAGGCACGAAAGCGUGGGGAGCGAACAGGAUUAGAUACCCUGGUAGUCCACGCCGUAAACGAUGGAUACUCGCUGGUGGCGAUAGACGGUCACUGGCUUAGCGAAAGCGUUAAGUAUCCCACCUGGGGAGUACGCUCGCAAGAGUGAAACUCAAAAGAAUUGACGGGGCCCGCACAAGUGGUGGA
rnacentral:rRNA from 1 species